AUUGAACGCUGGCGGCAUGCCUUACACAUGCAAGUCGAACGGUAACAGGUCUUCGGAUGCUGACGAGUGGCGAACGGGUGAGUAAUACAUCGGAGCGUGCCUAGUAGUGGGGGAUAACUACUCGAAAGAGUGGCUAAUACCGCAUGAGAUCUACGGAUGAAAGCAGGGGAUCGCAAGACCUCGUGCUACUAGAGCGGCCGAUGGCAGAUUAGGUAGUUGGUGGGAUAAAAGCUUACCAAGCCGACGAUCUGUAGCUGGUCUGAGAGGACGAUCAGCCACACUGGGACUGAGACACGGCCCAGACUCCUACGGGAGGCAGCAGUGGGGAAUUUUGGACAAUGGGCGCAAGCCUGAUCCAGCAAUGCCGCGUGCAGGAUGAAGGCCUUCGGGUUGUAAACUGCUUUUGUACGGAACGAAAAGCCUUGGGUUAAUACCCUGGGGUCAUGACGGUACCGUAAGAAUAAGCACCGGCUAACUACGUGCCAGCAGCCGCCGUAAGAC
rnacentral:rRNA from 1 species